GCAGUGGCAUUACGUCCCUUCAGAAGAGAACCCAGCCGACUUAGCCACCAGAUCUGUGGCUGCAUCACAGCUCAUGAACACAAUGUGGUUCAAGGGACCUGACUUCCUCUAUAAGCCUCCAAAGCCAGAGAAGCACGAGCACUUUGAACUGAUAGACCCUGAAAUGGACGUGGACGUCAGACCGCAAGUAACGGCUCUCGCUACCCACAUUGAAGCUAAGCGACUUGGCUCUGAAAGAUUCCAGCAUUUUUCCACAUGGAACUCCUUGUUGAGAGCUGUUUCCCUCUUGAUACAUCAGGCACGUUCCCACAAGUCAGGCUCCACCGACACAUCGCAGCACAUGUGUAAAGGAUGGCAUCAAUGUAGCAGGCCUCGCACUCCUGGAGAACUCGAGGCAGCCAGGAGGCUCAUACUAGAGUCUGUUCAAAGAGACACAUAUCCGAACGAAUAUGCUGCUCUUCAAGCAAACACAGAAGUCCCUAAUUCAAGUCCAAUCCUGACCCUUGACCCCUACAUCAGUGAUGGCCUCCUGAGGGUCGGAGGGCGUCUCAGACAUGCUUCCCUUGAAUCAGAGGUAAAAAACCCAAUCAUCCUCUCAAAGAAUAGCCAUGUUACCAAGCUGCUUGUGAAACACCAUCACAUGGAAGUGAAACACCAGGGGCGUCAGUUCACAGAAGGGGCCAUCAGAGCGGCUGGACUGUGGAUUGUUGCUGGCAAGAGGCUGGUGAGUUCUAUCCUUCAUCGCUGUGUAAUAUGCCGAAAGCUCAGGGGGAAGGUAGAAGUGCAAAAGAUGGCUGACCUCCCUCCGGAGCGGCUCAACACAUCUCCACCCUUCACGUACGUGGGGCUGGACAUAUUUGGACCAUGGUCGGUGGUCACUCGACGCACUCGUGGAGGUGCAGCGCAAAGCAAAAGGUGGGCCAUUCUGUUCACAUGUAUGAGUACCAGGGGAGUACACAUCGAAGUUAUAGAGUCUAUGGAUGCCACCAGCUGUAUCAAUGCAUUGCGGAGAUUCUUUGCAGUUAGAGGCCCCGCAAAGCAGCUUAGGUCAGACAGGGGGACUAACUUCGUCGCUGCCAGCGCA
rnacentral:lncRNA from 1 species